rnacentral:pre_miRNA from 1 species
ACUGGGGGGGGGGAUCUCUCUGCCUGGAUUGCGAGAGGGCACAGGCCAGGCCAAGGGACCACACCAGUGCACA